ACGGGUUCAGCUCAACCCCCCGGAGCUGAACUCUCGCGACCCCCGCCCCUCCCCCCGGCGGGGGUCGUCCCCU
rnacentral:ncRNA from 1 species